UACGUAGGGGGCUAGCGUUGUCCGGAUUUAUUGGGCGUAAAGAGCGUGUAGGCGGCCAGGUAGGUCUGGUGUGAAAACUCGAGGCUUAACCUCGAGAUGUCAUCGGAAACCAUCUGGCUAGAGUCCGCAAGAGGAGAGUGGAAUUCCUGGUGUAGCGGUGAAAUGCGCAGAUAUCAGGAAGAACACCAAUGGCGAAAGCAGCUCUCUGGGACGGUACUGACGCUGAGACGCGAAAGCGUGGGGAGCGAACAGG
rnacentral:rRNA from 1 species